GGAACUGAAAUUAGAACCCAGCUCCUCUGAUCCCCAGCCAACAGGCAGGACUUCCAUGGGGCCAACUUUCAGCCUCAGCUUCCCAUCUGCUGGUGCUCAGAGCUGUGAGCUGGUGGUGCUGGUGGGGAAUGUGUAGCAUCCUGACUGAUUUACCCAGCGGGAGACUUCCAGGAACUGCCCGAAGUCUUCAUCCGUCUUCAUGGAGGGUCAUUUUCACAAGGAGGCUGACUUCUAAUCACCUUUAAAAAAUCCAAAGAAAGCAGAUGAAAUAUCUCUCCCUUGAAAGGGAGGCGAAUGAAGGGAAUGUGUUCAACUCUG